GAAGCGCUGUUUUCAGAAUCUUCGGAGGAAGAGGACAGUGACUGAGCGGCGGACGGGUGAGUAACGCGUGGGCAACCUGCCUCAUACAGGGGGAUAACAGUUAGAAAUGACUGCUAAUACCGCAUAAGCGCACAGGACCGCAUGGUGUAGUGUGAAAAACUCCGGUGGUAUGAGAUGGACCCGCGUCUGAUUAGGUAGUUGGUGGGGUAAAGGCCUACCAAGCCGACGAUCAGUAGCCGACCUGAGAGGGUGACCGGCCACAUUGGGACUGAGACACGGCCCAAACUCCUACGGGAGGCAGCAGUGGGGAAUAUUGCACAAUGGGGGAAACCCUGAUGCAGCGACGCCGCGUGAAGGAAGAAGUAUUUCGGUAUGUAAACUUCUAUCAGCAGGGAAGAAGAUGACGGUACCUGAGUAAGAAGCACCGGCUAAAUACGUGCCAGCAGCCGCGGUAAUACGUAUGGUGCAAGCGUUAUCCGGAUUUACUGGGUGUAAAGGGAGCGUAGACGGAUAGGCAAGUCUGGAGUGAAAACCCAGGGCUCAACCCUGGGACUGCUUUGGAAACUGCAGAUCUGGAGUGCCGGAGAGGUAAGCGGAAUUCCUAGCGUAGCGGUGAAAUGCGUAGAUAUUAGGAGGAACACCAGUGGCGAA
rnacentral:rRNA from 1 species